CACGUAGGGCGCAAGCGUUGUCCGGAAUUAUUGGGCGUAAAGAGCUCGUAGGCGGUCUGUUACGUCUGCUGUGAAAACCCUGGGCUUAACCCUGGGCUUGCAGUGGAUACGGGCAGACUAGAGGCAGGUAGGGAGAAUGGAAUUCCCGGUGUAGCGGUGAAAUGCGCAGAUAUCAGGAGGAACACCGGUGGCGAAGGCGGCAUCCUGGACCGACACUGACGCUGAGGAGCGAAAGCCAGGGGAGCAAACGGG
rnacentral:rRNA from 1 species